rnacentral:rRNA from 1 species
AACGAACGCUGGCGGCAGGCUUAACACAUGCAAGUCGAGCGCCUCGCAAGAGGAGCGGCAGACGGGUGAGUAACGCGUGGGAACGUACCCUUAUCUUCGGAAUAGCUCUGGGAAACUGGAAGUAAUACCGAAUGUGCCCUUAGGGGGAAAGAUUUAUCGGAUAAGGAUCGGCCCGCGUUGGAUUAGCUAGUUGGUGGGGUAAAGGCCUACCAAGGCGACGAUCCAUAGCUGGUCUGAGAGGAUGAUCAGCCACAUUGGGACUGAGACACGGCCCAAACUCCUACGGGAGGCAGCAGUGGGGAAUAUUGGACAAUGGGCGCAAGCCUGAUCCAGCCAUGCCGCGUGAGUGAUGAAGGCCUUAGAGUUGUAAAGCUCUUUCACCGGAGAAGAUAAUGACGGUAUCCGGAGAAGAAGCCCCGGCUAACUUCGUG